rnacentral:rRNA from 1 species
AUCGAGCGGUAGAGAGAAGCUUGCUUCUCUUGAGAGCGGCGGACGGGUGAGUAAUGCCUAGGAAUCUGCCUGGUAGUGGGGGAUAACGUUCGGAAACGGACGCUAAUACCGCAUACGUCCUACGGGAGAAAGCAGGGGACCUUCGGGCCUUGCGCUAUCAGAUGAGCCUAGGUCGGAUUAGCUAGUUGGUGGGGUAAUGGCUCACCAAGGCGACAUCCGUAACUGGU